CUGGGGGUUAGGAGGAGGCCGGGGCAGGGGGAAGAGGCUGAGGGCAUACCCGCCCCCUCCCCCUCGCAGCCGCCCGGUGGGGUCUCCCUACCGCCUAACUUAGGGGCCGAAGCGGAGAGCGUGAGCUCAUGGCCCAAAAACUGAAGGAGGAGUUCAGCAGAGUAACUGGAAGGACAGUGAUGGAGGUCUGCACUUGUGGACGUGAAAACAUCGUAUGCAAAUUAAAAGGACUUCAAAACUCUAGUAACUUGUAAGUCAGACACCUGUGCCAUUUUGCAUUCAGCCACCAAAUUGAUG
rnacentral:lncRNA from 1 species